AUUGAACGCUGGCGGCAGGCCUAACACAUGCAAGUCGAACGGUAACAGGGAUCAGCUUGCUGAUUCGCUGACGAGUGGCGGACGGGUGAGUAAUGUCUGAGAAACUGCCUGAUGGAGGGGGAUAACUACUGGAAACGGUAGCUAAUACCGCAUAACGUCGCAAGACCAAAGAGGGGGACCUUCGGGCCUCUUGCCAUCGGAUGUGCCCAGAUGGGAUUAGCUAGUAGGUGGGGUAACGGCUCACCUAGGCGACGAUCCCUAGCUGGUCUGAGAGGAUGACCAGCCACACUGGAACUGAGACACGGUCCAGACUCCUACGGGAGGCAGCAGUGGGGAAUAUUGCACAAUGGGCGCAAGCCUGAUGCAGCCAUGCCGCGUGUAUGAAGAAGGCCUUCGGGUUGUAAAGUACUUUCAGCGGGGAGGAAGGGAGUAAAGUUAAUACCUUUGCUCAUUGACGUUACCCGCAGAAGAAGCACCGGCUAACUCCGUG
rnacentral:rRNA from 1 species